rnacentral:tRNA from 1 species
GGGGUUGUGGCUCAGAGGUAGAGCGCUUGCCUAGCACAUGCAAGGCUCUGGGUUCGAACCUCAGCACCACA